rnacentral:rRNA from 1 species
GAUGAACGCUGGCGGCGUGCCUAAUACAUGCAAGUCGAGCGAACAGACGAGGAGCUUGCUCCUCUGACGUUAGCGGCGGACGGGUGAGUAACACGUGGAUAACCGACCUAUAAGACUGGGAUAACUUCGGGAAACCGGAGCUAAUACCGGAUAAUAUAUUGAACCGCAUGGUUCAAUAGUGAAAGACGGUUUUGCUGUCACUUAUAGAUGGAUCCGCGCCGCAUUAGCUAGUUGGUAAGGUAACGGCUUACCAAGGCAACGAUGCGUAGCCGACCUGAGAGGGUGAUCGGCCACACUGGAACUGAGACACGGUCCAGACUCCUACGGGAGGCAGCAGUAGGGAAUCUUCCGCAAUGGGCGAAAGCCUGACGGAGCCACGCCGCGUGAGUGAUGAAGGUCUUCGGAUCGUAAAACUCUGUUAUUAGGGAAGAACAAAUGUGUAAGUAACUAUGCACGUCUUGACGGUACCUACUCAGAAAGCCACGGCUAACUACGUG